rnacentral:rRNA from 1 species
GACGAACGCUGGCGGCGUGCCUAAUACAUGCAAGUUGAGCGGUGAAGAUUGGUGCUUGCACCAAUUUGAAGAGCAGCGAACGGGUGAGUAACGCGUGGGGAAUCUGCCUUUGAGCGGGGGACAACAUUUGGAAACGAAUGCUAAUACCGCAUAACAACUUUAAACAUAAGUUUUAAGUUUGAAAGAUGCAAUUGCAUCACUCAAAGAUGAUCCCGCGUUGUAUUAGCUAGUUGGUGAGGUAAAGGCUCACCAAGGCGAUGAUCCAUAGCCUGCCUGAGAGGAUGAUCACUCAAACGGGAAUUGGGAAAGGGUCCAGAAUCGUACGGAGGGCAGAAGUGGGGAAUAUUGGAAAAUGGGGGAAAGCCGGAUGCAGACAUGCGGGGUGUGGGAGGAAGGUCUCCGGAGGGUAAAGCACGUUAAGUUGGGAGGAAGGGCAUUAAGUUAAUACGUUGCUGUUGUGACGUUACCAACAGAAUAAGCACCGGCUAACUUCGUG